AUCUAAGGGAACUUUAUUUGUGUUUUGCCGAAUAUGAGAGGACCAAUUAUGAGAGGAAAUGGUGUGUUGCUUUGGGAAAUUUGCUCAAAAAUCAAGAGACACAGGUAGAGAAGCUCUCUAUUUACAAUAGUUUUGUUGAUGAUGAAGGGGUAACUAUCUUGGGAAAUGCUUUAGUAAAGAACAACGAACUGAAGCAGUUUAAUAUUUUUCUUCAAGAAAACCAAUCAAUCACCUCAACUGGAUGGGUUGCCUUCUCA
rnacentral:ribozyme from 1 species